rnacentral:rRNA from 1 species
AUUGAACGCUGGCGGCAGGCCUAACACAUGCAAGUCGAGCGGAUCAAGGGAGCUUGCUCCUGGAUUCAGCGGCGGACGGGUGAGUAAUGCCUAGGAAUCUGCCUGGUAGUGGGGGAUAACGUCCGGAAACGGGCGCUAAUACCGCAUACGUCCUGAGGGAGAAAGUGGGGGAUCUUCGGACCUCACGCUAUCAGAUGAGCCUAGGUCGGAUUAGCUAGUUGGUGGGGUAAAGGCCUACCAAGGCGACGAUCCGUAACUGGUCUGAGAGGAUGAUCAGUCACACUGGAACUGAGACACGGUCCAGACUCCUACGGGAGGCAGCAGUGGAGAAUAUUGGACAAUGGGCGAAAGCCUGAUCCAGCCAUGCCGCGUGUGUGAAGAAGGUCUUCGGAUUGUAAAGCACUUUAAGUUGGGAGGAAGGGCAGUAAGUUAAUACCUUGCUGUUUUGACGUUACCAACAGAAUAAGCACCGGCUAACUUCGUG